GAGUUUGAUCCUGGCUCAGAUUGAACGCUGGCGGCAGGCUUAACACAUGCAAGUCGAGCGGGGGAAGGUAGCUUGCUACUGGACCUAGCGGCGGACGGGUGAGUAAUGCUUAGGAGUCUGCCUAUUAGUGGGGGACAACAUUCCGAAAGGAAUGCUAAUACCGCAUACGUCCUACGGGAGAAAGCAGGGGACCUUCGGGCCUUGCGCUAAUAGAUGAGCCUAAGUCGGAUUAGCUAGUUGGUGGGGUAAAGGCCUACCAAGGCGACGAUCUGUAGCGGGUCUGAGAGGAUGAUCCGCCACACUGGGACUGAGACACGGCCCAGACUCCUACGGGAGGCAGCAGUGGGGAAUAUUGGACAAUGGGGGGAACCCUGAUCCAGCCAUGCCGCGUGUGUGAAGAAGGCCUUAUGGUUGUAAAGCACUUUAAGCGAGGAGGAGGCUACUAGUAUUAAUACUACUGGAUAGUGGACGUUACUCGCAGAAUAAGCACCGGCUAACUCUGUGCCAGCAGCCGCGGUAAUACAGAGGGUGCGAGCGUUAAUCGGAUUUACUGGGCGUAAAGCGUGCGUAGGCGGCCAUUUAAGUCAAAUGUGAAAUCCCCGAGCUUAACUUGGGAAUUGCAUUCGAUACUGGAUGGCUAGAGUAUGGGAGAGGAUGGUAGAAUUCCAGGUGUAGCGGUGAAAUGCGUAGAGAUCUGGAGGAAUACCGAUGGCGAAGGCAGCCAUCUGGCCUAAUACUGACGCUGAGGUACGAAAGCAUGGGGAGCAAACAGGAUUAGAUACCCUGGUAGUCCAUGCCGUAAACGAUGUCUACUAGCCGUUGGGGCCUUUGAGGCUUUAGUGGCGCAGCUAACGCGAUAAGUAGACCGCCUGGGGAGUACGGUCGCAAGACUAAAACUCAAAUGAAUUGACGGGGGCCCGCACAAGCGGUGGAGCAUGUGGUUUAAUUCG
rnacentral:rRNA from 1 species